rnacentral:ribozyme from 1 species
ACCCCCCCCCCCUUGAUUUUAUUUUAUUAUUUUUUUGUUGAAGAAUCCAGCAGCAUUACUGUUGGUUCUUCUUUGAAAUACACAGUAACUGUAACAAUGGAAGCAGAAGCCGAAAAUCAAAGACCUACAAGCAGAAAGCCAGA